rnacentral:misc_RNA from 1 species
UCAAACUUGGUCAUUUAGAGGAAGUAAAAGUCGUAACAAGGUUUCCGUAGGUGAACCUGCGGAAGGAUCAUUAAAAGUGCCCCGGCCUGAGCCGGUGGACCACUCCUCUGCCCUGGGCCGUUCGCGGCCUCUGGGUUAUGAGUCUACCAAUUGUGAAACUUAAACCUUUGCUUCGGCAGCGCUCUCAGCGGGCAACCGCUGGAGGGGUAAGGCUGCCAGAAGCCCAUUCUCAAAACUAGUUGAUGAAAUGUCAUGCUGUCUGAUAACCACUAUUUGAGAAAUCAAAUUAUAUUAAAACUUUCAGCAACGGAUCUCUUGGUUCUCGCAUCGAUGAAGAACGCAGC